rnacentral:rRNA from 1 species
CAAAAACAUCGCCUCCUGCAAAGAUCUAAGUAUAGGAGGUCCAGCCUGCCCAGUGACUAUAAGUUUAACGGCCGCGGUAUUUUGACCGUGCAAAGGUAGCGCAAUCACUUGUCUUUUAAAUGAAGACCCGUAUGAAUGGCUAAACGAGGGCUUAACUGUCUCCCCUUUCAAGUCAGUGAAAUUGAUCUAUCCGUGCAGAAGCGGGUAUAAACGUACAAGACGAGAAGACCCUUUGGAGCUUAAGGUGUUAACCCAAUCGCGUCAAACAACUUACUAAAGAGCACAAACUUAGCGCACCAUGGAAUUUCACCUUCGGUUGGGGCGACCACGGAGGAGAAAGCAGCCUCCGAGUGGACUGGGAAUAUUUCCUAAAAUCAAGAGGGACACCUCUAAACCACAGAACAUCUGACCAAGCAUGAUCCGGACAUAAAGUCCGAUCAACGAACCAAGUUACCCUAGGGAUAACAGCGCAAUCCUCUCCCAGAGUCCAUAUCGACGAGGGGGUUUACGACCUCGAUGUUGGAUCAGGACAUCCUAAUGGUGCAGCCGCUAUUAAGGGUUCGUUUGUUCAACGAUUAAAGUCCUACGUGAUCUGAGU